rnacentral:rRNA from 1 species
AGCGGCGGACGGGUGAGUAACGCGUGGGUAACCUGCCUCAUACAGGGGGAUAACACAGGGAAACUUGUGCUAAUACCGCAUAACAUAACGAGGCGGCAUCGCUUUGUUAUCAAAGGAGCAAUCCGGUAUGAGAUGGGCCCGCGUCCGAUUAGCUAGUUGGUGAGGUAACGGCUCACCAAGGCGACGAUCGGUAGCCGAACUGAGAGGUUGAUCGGCCACAUUGGGACUGAGACACGGCCCAGACUCCUACGGGAGGCAGCAGUGGGGAAUAUUGCGCGAUGGGGGCAACCCUGACGCAGCAACGCCGCGUGAAGGAAGAAGGCCUUCGGGUUGUAAACUUCUUUGAUCGGGGACGAAAAAUGACGGUACCCGAGGAACAAGCCACGGCUAACUACGUGCCAGCAGCCGCGGUAAUACGUAGGUGGCAAGCGUUGUCCGGAAUUACUGGGCGUAAAGGGCGUGUAGGCGGGGAAGCAAGUCAGAUGUGAAAUUCCGAGGCUUAACCUCGGCGCUGCAUCUGAAACUGUUUCUCUUGAGUGCUGGAGAGGAAAGUGGAAUU